rnacentral:rRNA from 1 species
AGAAUCAACGCUGGCGGCGUGCCUAACACAUGCAAGUCGAACGAGAAAGUGGAGCAAUCCAUGAGUAAAGUGGCGCACGGGUGAGUAACACGUGACUAACCUACCCUUGAGUGGGGAAUAACUUCGGGAAACCGAGGCUAAUACCGCAUAACACCUACGGGUCAAAGGAGCAAUUCGCUUAAGGAGGGGGUCGCGGCAGAUUAGUUAGUUGGCGGGGUAAUGGCCCACCAAGACAGUGAUCUGUAUCCGGCCUGAGAGGGCGCACGGACACACUGGAACUGAAACACGGUCCAGACUCCUACGGGAGGCAGCAGUGGGAAUUUUGCGCAAUGGGGGAAACCCUGACGCAGCAACGCCGCGUGGAGGAUGAAGUCUCUUGGGACGUAAACUCCUUUCGAUCGGGACGAUAAUGACGGUACCGAGAGAAGAGCCCGGCUAACUCGCGCCAGCAGCCGC